CGUGUUGCCGGUCCUGCUGCCUGGGGGUCUGAGCUGCCCCCUGACCUGGGGCCACGGGUCGUCAUUCUAGAAACAGCCUCAUAAUGUUGACACGUCUGAAGCCCACGCUUGACACGGUCUGACGUCUGUGUGGCCCCAGCGAACACCCCCAGCGCCCGCCAGGCUCGUGUGAUCCGCGAGCGCUCCCUCCUGCCCUCUGCUCGGCCUGCCAUCUCCAGGCAACCGCUGACCUGCUUUCUGUCGCUGCAGAUGCGCUGCCCUUGUCUCCCGUCUGAUGUAAGCGCGAUCAUCCUGUCAGGCGGCAUCAUCAUUCGGAGACCGAGCUCUGUGGCGGUGCGCACCGUUUCCUGCCGAACACAGUUUCCUUGUAAGGACGCGCCGCGGCUGGCUGAGCCAUGCCUGUCCAUGGACAUGUGGGUUGCUUCUUGUUUCUGGCUAUUAAAAAAA